ACAAGGUUUCCGUAGGUGAACCUGCGGAAGGAUCAUUAAUGAAAUUAUAAUCCGGCGAGGGGAAAGGCGGAGAGUUGUAGCUGGCCUCUAGGGGCAUGUGCACGCUCUCUUCCGGACCUUUCGCCGUAUGGGCGCGGGGCGACCCGCGUCUUCAUAUACCUCUUCGUGUAGAAAGUCUUUGAAUGUUUUACCAUCAUCGAGUCGCGACUUCUAGGAGACGCGAUUCUUUGAGAAAAAAGUUAUUACAACUUUCAGCAACGGAUCUCUUGGCUCUCGCAUCGAUGAAGAACGCAGCGAAUCGCGAUAUGUAAUGUGAAUUGCAGAUCUACAGUGAAUCAUCGAAUCUUUGAACGCACCUUGCGCUCCUCGGUGUUCCGAGGAGCAUGCCUGUUUGAGUGUCAGUAAAUUCUCAACCCCUCUCGAUUUGCUUCGAGCGGGUGCUUGGAUGUUGGGGGCUGCCGGAGACACUGGAUUCGUCCAGGACUCGGGCUCCUCUUAAAUGAAUCGGCUCGCGGUCGACUUUCGACUUUGCAUGACAAGGCCUUUGGCGUGAUAAUGAUCGCCGUUCGCCGAAGUGCAAGACAGAAUGGUCCCGUGCCUCUAAUGCGUCGACGCCUCUAGGGGCGUCUUCCUCAUUGACGUUUGACCUCAAAUCAGGUAGGACUACCCGCGAACUA
rnacentral:rRNA from 1 species